AUUGCUUCUCAGCUCCUUGGAGCUAAUAUCAAAGUGUUGUGUCUGUUCUUAUCAGUUUAAUCUCUGAUAUGUCCUUGAUGUGAGGACUGUAUGUUAGCUUGAUUUUUGAAAUGGGGGUGGGGUUAGAACAGAAGCUUGCUUUGUCUGCCGCAUGCAUUGACCUAGUAUUGCAGUGCCAGGGGGAGGGAUAGCUCA